UGGGAUCAAGGUUUCAAUAUGGACUGCUUGGGAAAUCUUCCUGUUUAACCUGUAACACCAUAGAAGGGUCAUUUUUCAAUGAAUCAUGGAACAAAGCAGAUAGUGGACAAACAAAACAGUGCUAUUCCGCAGUUCAUUCUCAGCCAAGUGAACUUGAAGGGUGGCGUGGACUUCUCUCCUAGCUCAACACUUCCCCAUCUCAUUUCUCUUUUCUCUUGACCUUGGGAAGAAUGGCAGCCGGCCCUGUUGCUUUCCUGCUUAUCACCUUUAUAUCAUGGCAGCCAAGGAAAAGAAAAACAGUAUGGUAUAGAUGGUGUAACCCUCCUAUGAAGGAUCCCCAAGAAUGUCCAGAAACCCACUUCACUGUCUCCUCUUAGAGAAGAAAUUGAAAAUUCACCUGCAGCAAUUUAAUUACGAAGGUCAGCAAGCAGCAGUUCGCUGUGCUAAUCAAUGCCUGGAAGCCCGUGGUCACCGCUGUGAGGAGCUCUCGUCAUUGAAGAGGUCAAAGCAUGGUGAUGUCGGCUCAGACGAUACAGAAAAACCUAGAUGGAGAAGAAAGACAAGAAGUCCCAGAAAGACAGUUGCUGAGCACUGA
rnacentral:lncRNA from 1 species